UACGUAGGUGGCAAGCGUUGUCCGGAAUUAUUGGGCGUAAAGGGCGCGCAGGCGGCAUCGCAAGUCGGUCUUAAAAGUGCGGGGCUUAACCCCGUGAGGGGACCGAAACUGUGAAGCUCGAGUGUCGGAGAGGAAAGCGGAAUUCCUAGUGUAGCGGUGAAAUGCGUAGAUAUUAGGAGGAACACCAGUGGCGAAAGCGGCUUUCUGGACGACAACUGACGCUGAGGCGCGAAAGCCAGGGGAGCAAACGGGAGGAGAAACCCGGGGAGGCCGGCUGACUGACU
rnacentral:rRNA from 1 species